AUUGAACGCUGGCGGCAUGCCUUACACAUGCAAGUCGAACGGUAACAGGUCUUCGGAUGCUGACGAGUGGCGGACGGGUGAGUAAUACAUCGGAACGUGCCCGAGAGUGGGGGAUAACGAGGCGAAAGCUUUGCUAAUACCGCAUACGAUCUCAGGAUGAAAGCAGGGGACCGCAAGGCCUUGCGCUCACGGAGCGGCCGAUGGCAGAUUAGGUAGUUGGUGGGAUAAAAGCUUACCAAGCCGACGAUCUGUAGCUGGUCUGAGAGGACGACCAGCCACACUGGGACUGGGACACGGCCCAGACUCCUACGGGAGGCAGCAGUGGGGAAUUUUGGACAAUGGGCGCAAGCCUGAUCCAGCCAUGCCGCGUGCAGGAUGAAGGCCUUCGGGUUGUAAACUGCUUUUGUACGGAACGAAAAGACUCUGGUUAAUACCUGGGGUCCAUGACGGUACCGUAAGAAUAAGCACCGGCUAACUACGUGCCAGCCGCCGCAGUAAGAC
rnacentral:rRNA from 1 species